rnacentral:rRNA from 1 species
UGCUGCUGGUUUCUCUAGGACAUGUGCACACUUGUCAUCUUUAUAUCUCCACCUGUGCACCUCUUGUAGACCUGGAUAUUUUUCUGAAUAUUAUUAUUCAAGUUUGAGGAUUGAUUUUUCUGUCUCUCCUUACAUUUCCAGGCCUAUGUUUUCUUCAUAUAUACCCCAAUGUAUGUUAUAGAAUGUAAUCAAUGGGCCUUUGUGCCUAUAAAUCUAUACAACUUUCAGCAACGGAUCUCUUGGCUCUCGCAUCGAUGAAGAACGCAGCGAAAUGCGAUAAGUAAUGUGAAUUGCAGAAUUCAGUGAAUCAUCGAAUCUUUGAACGCACCUUGCGCUCCUUGGUAUUCCGAGGAGCAUGCCUGUUUGAGUGUCAUUAAUAUAUCAACUUCUUCAACUUUUGCUUGUCGAGUGUUGGAUGUGGGGGGUUCUUUUUUUGCCGGGUCUCUUUUAAUUGAGGUCGGCUCCCCUGAAAUGCAUUAGCGGAACAAUUUGUUGACCGUUCAUUGGUGUGAUAAACUAUCUACGCUAUUGACGUGAGCCAGUUCAGCUUCUAACAAUCCAUUGACUUGGAUAAAUUUUUAUUAAUGUGACCUCAAAUCACGUAGGACUACCCGCUGAACUUAAGCAUAUC